ACAUAACUGAUGCCUCCGCGUAUCGACUUUGUGCGCAUUUUAGCUAUUAUGUGUUCUUUUAAUUAAAAUGAUUCUUUUUAAGAUUCAUCUAUUAAAAAUUUGCUUCGGCAUAAUUUUUUUUGAUGAUCUUGUUACUUUGAGUAAAUUAGAGUGUUCAAAGCAAACAGAUAUAGCAUUUGUGCGUUUGAAUACUACAGCAUGGAAUAACAAAAUUGAACAAGUCAGAAUUUUUUUGUUCUUUUUUCUUAUUUUGGCUUAGUUACGAUUAAUAGGAGUAGCUUGGGGGCAUUUGUAUUCAGAUGUCAGAGGUGAAAUUCUUAGAUUUUCUGGAGACAAACAACUGCGAAAGCAUUUGCCUAAAAUACUUCCAUUAAUCAAGAACGAAAGUUAAGGGAGUGAAGACGAUCAGAUACCGUCGUAAUCUUAACCAUAAACUAUGCCGACUAGGCUUUGGAUGAAAGAUUUUAAAAUAAGAGUUUUUCUUUUCUCUCCGGAGAUUAGAACUCUUAGAUUGCUUCCUUCAGUGCCUUAUGAGAAAUCAAAGUCUUUGGGUUCUGGGGCGAGUAUUCGCGCAAGCGAGAAAGUUAAAAGAAUUGACGGAAGGGCACCACCAGGCGUGGAGCUUGCGGCUUAAUUUGACUCAACACGGGAAAACUCACUAGUUUAAGACAAGAGUAGGAUUGACAGAUUAAUAGCUCUUUCUUGAUUUCUUGGAUGGUGAUGCAUGGCCGUUUUUAGUUCGUGAAUAUGAUUUGUCUGGUUAAUUCCGAUAACGAACGAGAUCUUAACCUGCUAAUUAGCGGCAAAUACGAUAUAUUCUUAUGUAGAAUUGAAUAUAGUGGAUUUGUUAGAUUUUGAAGAAAAUAUUGGAAUUACGUUAAAUGUGAUUCCUUUCCCUUUUCUACUUAAUUUACAUUUCCAUCUAUUUCUUUUUGCGUAUGAAUGUAUUUGCUUGAUUGUAAAGCUUCUUAGAGGAACGAUGUGUG
rnacentral:rRNA from 1 species